AUGAUCUGGCAUGUACAGAAUGAAAACUUCAUUCUCGAUUCUACGAGAAUUUUUAUGAAAGCGUUUCAUUUGCUUCUCUUCAAUGGAAGCUUUAUUUUCCCAGAAUGUAUCCUAAUUUUUGGCCUAAUUCUUCUUCUGAUGAUCGAUUCAACCUCUGAUAAAAAAGAUAGAUCUUGGGUCUAUUUCAUCUCUUCAACAAGUUUAGUAAUAAGCUGUUGA
rnacentral:rRNA from 1 species